GGUCAAGCUACUAAGGGCGUACGGUGGAUGCCUAGGCGCUAAGAGUCGAAGAAGGACGCGGCGAGCGGCGAAACGCCACGGGGAGCAGUAAGCAUGCAUUGAUCCGUGGAUAUCCGAAUGGGGCAACCCAUCCAGAGUCAUAUCUGGAUAUCUUAAGCUGAAUACAUAGGUUUAAGAAGACAACCCGGGGAACUGAAACAUCUAAGUACCCGGAGGAAGAGAAAGAAUAAUCGAUUCCCUGAGUAGCGGCGAGCGAAACGGGAAGAGCCCAAACCGAGCCCUUCGGGGAUCGGGGUUGUAGGACCCUCUUUUAGGGAUGAAUUUCUAGCUGAAGCGAUCUGGAAAGGUCGAGCAAAGAAGGUAACACUCCUGUAAGCGAAAGAAAGACAUUCUGUGAGGGUAUCCUGAGUACCGCGGGACACGUGAAACCCCGUGGGAAACUGGGAGGACCACCUCCCAAGGCUAAAUACUCCUUAGCGACCGAUAGCGAACCAGUACCGUGAGGGAAAGGUGAAAAGCACCCCGGGAGGGGAGUGAAAGAGAACCUGAAACCGUACGCUUACAAGCAGUCAAAGCACCCUUGAGGUGUGAUGGCGUGCCUUUUGUAGAAUGAACCGGCGAGUUACGGUAUGUAGCGAGGUUAAGACGAGAAGUCGGAGCCGAAGCGAAAGCGAGUCUGAAUAGGGCGAUUAGUUACAUGCUGUAGACCCGAAACCGUGUGAUCUACCCAUGGACAGGGUGAAGGUGAGGUAAAACUCACUGGAGGCCCGAACUCACUGUCGUUGAAAAGGCAGGGGAUGAGCUGUGGGUAGCGGAGAAAUUCCAAUCGAACACGGAGAUAGCUGGUUCUCCCCGAAAUAGCUUUAGGGCUAGCCUCAAUUGAUGAUUCUUGGCGGUAAAGCACUGAAUAGGCUAGGGGCCUUACCGGGUUACCGAACCUUAUCAAACUCAGAAUGCCAAGAAUUUAGAUUGGGAGUCAGACUGUGGGGGAUAAGCUUCAUAGUCAAAAGGGAAACAGCCCAGACCAUCAGCUAAGGUCCCAAAGUAUACGCUAAGUGGAAAAGGAUGUGGAAUUGCAUAGACAACCAGGAUGUUGGCUCAGAAGCAGCCACCAUUUAAAGAGUGCGUAAUAGCUCACUGGUCGAGUGGUUCUGCGCCGAAAAUGUAACGGGGCUCAAGCGUAUCACCGAAGCUAUGGCUUGUACUAUUUAGUUAGUACAGGGGUAGGGGAGCGUUCCAUCAGCAGAGAAGCUCAACUGUAAGGUUGUGUGGAGUGGAUGGAAGUGAGAAUGCCGGUAUGAGUAUGCGAAAAGGUGAGUGAGAAUCUCACCCGCCGAAAACCUAAGGAUUCCUGGGGAAGGCUCGUCCGCCCAGGGUAAGUCGGGACCUAAGCUGAGGCCGAAAGGCGUAGGCGAUGGACAACUGGUUGAGAUUCCAGUACCACUCUUAAGCGUUUGAGCAAUGGGGUGACACAGAAGGAUAGGUUAAGCGUGCCGUUGGUUGAGCACGCCCAAGCCCGUAGGGUGUGAGGCAGGAAAAUCCGCCUCGCGAGAAGCCUAAAAGGUGAUGGGGAGCGAAAACAAGUAGCGAAGUAACCGACUCCAAGCUGUCAAGAAAAGCCUCUAGUGAGCAAGAGAGUGCCCGUACCGUAAACCGACACAGGUAGGUAAGGAGAGAAUCCUAAGGCGCGCGAGAAAACCCUCGUUAAGGAACUCGGCAAAAUGACCCCGUAACUUCGGGAGAAGGGGUGCUCUAGCAAUAGAGCCGCAGAGAAGAGGUCCAGGCGACUGUUUAUCAAAAACACAGGUUCCUGCCAAUCUGAAAAGAGAAGUAUAGGAGCUGACGCCUGCCCGGUGCUGGAAGGUUAAGAGGAGAGGUUAGCCGUAAGGCGAAGCUUUGAAUUGAAGCCCCAGUAAACGGCGGCCGUAACUAUAACGGUCCUAAGGUAGCGAAAUUCCUUGUCAGGUAAGUUCUGACCCGCACGAAAGGCGUAACGAUCUGGACACUGUCUCAACGAGGGACUCGGCGAAAUUGUAAUACCCGUGAAGAUGCGGGUUACCUGCGACAGGACAGAAAGACCCCAUGGAGCUUUACUGUAGCUUGACAUUGGACUUUGGUAUGAAAUGUACAGGAUAGGUGGGAGACAGAGAAGCUAGGGCGCCAGCCUUGGUGGAGUCAAUGGUGGGAUACCACUCUUUUUGUACUGAAGUUCUAACUUAGACCCCUGAAUCGGGGUUGAGGACCGUGUCAGGUGGGCAGUUUGACUGGGGCGGUCGCCUCCUAAAGAGUAACGGAGGCGCCCAAAGGUUCCCUCAGCGCGGAUGGAAAUCGCGCGAAGAGUGUAAAGGCAGAAGGGAGCUUGACUGCGAGACCAACAAGUCGAGCAGGGACGAAAGUCGGGCUUAGUGAUCCGGUGGUACCGAGUGGAAGGGCCAUCGCUCAACGGAUAAAAGCUACCCUGGGGAUAACAGGCUUAUCUCCCCCAAGAGUCCAUAUCGACGGGGAGGUUUGGCACCUCGAUGUCGGCUCAUCGCAUCCUGGGGCUGUAGUAGGUCCCAAGGGUUGGGCUGUUCGCCCAUUAAAGCGGUACGUGAGCUGGGUUCAGAACGUCGUGAGACAGUUCGGUCCCUAUCCGUCGCAGGCGCAGGAAAUUUGAGAGGAACUGACCCUAGUACGAGAGGACCGGGUUGGACGGAUCACUGGUGUACCAGUUGUCUCGCCAGAGGCACAGCUGGGUAGCUAUAUCCGGAUCGGAUAAGCGCUGAAAGCAUCUAAGCGCGAAACCGGCCUCAAGAUGAGAUUUCCCACAGCAUAAGCUGGUAAGACCCCUGAAAGAUGAUCAGGUAGAUAGGCCCGAAGUGGAAGUGCCGCGAGGUAUGGAGCUGACGGGUACUAAUAGGUCGAGGGCUUGACCUA
rfam:Desulfitobacterium dichloroeliminans LMG P-21439, complete genome.